GCUUUCGCAGUUUCCUGCUUUAGAACUUGAUAAAUUCCUGGAGGAUGUCAGGAAUGGUAUUUAUCCCAUGACAGCGUUCGGGCUGCCCUGUCCUCAGCAGCCUCAACAGGAGACGGUUCAAUCUCCUGUCGUCGUCCCUUUGGUCAAAUCCCCAACCCCUGAACCUGCAGAGCUGGAGACACGACGGGUCAUUCAAAUGCAGUGUAAUGCUGAAUCUGUGGAGGAAGGUGCAAGGUUUCAUGUG